AGAGCGAACGCUGGCGGCAGGCCUAACACAUGCAAGUCGAGCGCCCGUAGCAAUACGGGAGCGGCAGACGGGAUAGUAACACGUGGGAACGCGCCCUUCGGUUCGGAAUAACUCAGGGAAACUUGAGCUAAUACCGGAUACGCCCUUACGGGGAAAGAUUUAUUGCCGAAGGAACGGCCCGCGUCCGAUUAGCUAGUUGGUGAGGUAAUGGCUCACCAAGGCGACGAUCGGUAGCUGGUCUGAGAGGAUGACCAGCAUCACUGGGACUGAGACACGGCCCAGACUCCUACGGGAGGCAGCAGUGGGGAAUAUUGGACAAUGGGCGCAAGCCUGAUCCAGCCAUGCCGCGUGAGUGAUGAAGGCCCUAGGGUUGUAAAGCUCUUUCGACGGGGACGAUAAUGACGGUACCCGUAGAAGAAGCCCCGGCUAACUUCGUGCCAGCAGCCGC
rnacentral:rRNA from 1 species